rnacentral:rRNA from 1 species
AGGACGAACGCUUGCGACGUGCCUAAGAAAUGCAAGUCGAACGGACCAGCAGCAAUGCUGGUUAGUGGCGAACGGUCGCGUAACACGUGGGCAACCUGCCCUGAAGCGGGGGACAACAACUCGAAAGAGUUGCUAAUACCGCAUGUGUAUCGCUGUGGCAUCACAGAGGAUACAAAGCCGCAAGGCACUUCAGGAUGGGCCCGCGGCCUAUCAGCUUGUUGGUGAGGUAACGGCUCACCAAGGCUUCGACGGGUAGCUGGUCUGAGAGGACGAUCAGCCGGAUUGGGACUGAGAUACGGCCCAGACUCCUACGGGGGGCAGCAAUUAGGAAUCUUGCACAAUGGGCGAAAGCCUGAUGCAGCGACGUCGCGUGAAGGAUGAAAUCUUCGGGAUGUAAACUUCUUUACCAGGGAAGAAAUAAAUGACGGUACCUGGUGAAUAAGCCCGGCUAACUACGUGCCAGCAGCCGCGGU